rnacentral:tRNA from 1 species
GCGUCUAUAGCUCAGAUGGAUAGAGCAACAGCCUUCUAAGCUGUGGGUCGUGGGUUCGAGUCCCGCUGGACGCACCA